rnacentral:tmRNA from 1 species
GGGGAUGAAUUGGUAUCGACGGGAACGGAAUGGUCCGGGUCGCAUACCGUGCUCUCCGAGUUGCACGUUAAUAAAGCGGAACACUUUCAAGUGCCGAUUACAACUACGCACUGGCUGCUUAAUUAAUUAGGUAGCCCGUCCCGAGGAGACUCGCCUGCCAGACUCCGAAGGGGCGCCGACUUCGGCAGGAUAGCGAACUGGAUUCCCUGCGAACAGUUUGCGAAUGUCGCUUGCGACAAGAGCGGGGUUGUUUCCUUGCCAACCUGUCUGUCGGUUGUCAGGAGACGAGUUCUGAUAGACAGACUACGUAUGGAGUGCCCCUGAUGGUUUCUUCUUCGGACGCGGGUUCGACUCCCGCCAUCUCCACAA